AGUGAACGCUGGCGGUAGGCCUAACACAUGCAAGUCGAGCGGCAGCACGGUAAGCUCUCGCUUUUACGGGUGGCGAGGGACGGACGAGUGAGAAGUGGAUCGCAAACCACUAAUUCGGGGGUAACAACGGGAGGCAACUGACACUACUACCUCAUAUAUUCAACGGCAGGAAUCAGUGGUUCAACACACUUUUGCCGUCUGUUUGAGAUGGGGUCGGAUUAGCUAGUUGGCAGGGUAAGGGCCUACCAAGGCAACGAUCCGUAGCCGGUCUGAGAGGAUGAUCAGCCACACUGGAACUGAGACACGGUCCAGACUCCUACGGGAGGCAGCAGUAGGGAAUCUUCGACAAUGGGCGCAAGCCUGAUCCAGCCACGCCGCGUGGGUGAAGAAGGCCUUCGGGUUGUAAAGCCCUCUUGUUGGGAAAGAAAAGCAGCGGAUUAAUCCCCGGCCGUUCUGACGGUACCCAAACAGUAAGCACCGGCUAACUUCGUG
rnacentral:rRNA from 1 species